CGCUCGCUCUGGCCGCUGGCCCUCAGUCUGGACAAGAAGGAAAAGUUCCAUCACCAGUUCAGUUCCAACGAGCAGCAGUCAGAAAAUUGUGUGUGAAUCUGCGUCAGCAAAGCGAAAAAAUUUCGGCCCUGCUCGGUUUGGGCCCCUCAAAAUCGAUUUUGAAAAGUUCGCGAAACCCGUGAAAACACGGAUUGCGGUCCGGAGAGGUGCUUUGUUGUGAUUUCGGAGCCUGUGUGGACGCGGGGAGUGGAUUUUCGAUUUUCCUGUUUUUUUUUUCUUCUCUCGCGUUCCGCGACGGGUGGUGAAGAAGGAUGUGGUCCUUCUUCUCCCGGGACUCGGCCAAGGACUUUCCGUACGAGAUUGGCGAGCCCGUGGCGCAGUUCGAUUCGCGUAGCAUCUGGUCGCUGCACCGGGGCAAGCGGAAAGGGUCGGCGGCGGCCGGAGUGGACGCCGAGGUGUCCGUGUUUGUUUACGACAUCCGGAACGGGACCGACGUGAAGCUGGAGCUGGCCAAGGCGGCGGUCAAGCGGCUGAAAACACUGCGCCAUCCGAGCAUCCUCCAGUUUCUGGACAGCCUCGAAACGGACAAGGUGCUGUACGUGGCCACGGAACAGGUGGAACCGCUGGGGGCACACUCGCUCGGUGCCGAGGGCCACCAGCGGGAGCUGUACCUGGCCUGGGGCAUCUUCCAGAUCACGCGCGCCCUGUCCUUCCUCAACAACGAUGGCAACCUGCGCCACAACAACGUCUCCGUUUGGUCCGUGUUCGUCAACGCCAGCGGCGAGUGGAAGCUCGGCAGCCUGGAGUACGUGUCCUCGACGGAUGCGUCCGGAGCGGCGCCACCGAUCAAAAUUCCCCCGGCGUUGGAGAUUUACGACCCGCCCGAGAAGAACGACCAGGCCAAGCUAAAGUCGGUGACCAAGUGCUCGACCGACAUGUGGGGGCUGGGCUGUCUGGUUUGGGAGUCGUUCAACGGGCCGCUGCGUGCCCGAGGAAACCUGAAGGAUCUGGCUGGGGUUCCCAAGUCGUUGGCUCCGCUGUACUGCGAGCUGGUCGGGGCCUCGCCGGCCAAUCGUCCCAAUCCGGCCGAUGUGAUUACCAAGUGCCGCAAGCCGGGUGGAUUCUUCAAGAAUGACCUCGUGGAUACGUUGCUGUUUCUGGAGGAGAUCCAGAUCAAGGACAAGGCCGAGAAGAAUCGAUUUUUCAGCGCGCUGACGCCCCAGUUGGACAACUUUCCGGAUAAUGUGUGCAAGAACAAAAUUCUUCCCCAACUCAUCACGGCCUACGAGUACGGAGACGCGGGCUCUGCGGUGCUAGCUCCAAUGUUCAAGCUCGGUCGAUUACUGGACGAGGUCGAGUACCAGAAGCGAAUAGUUCCGUGCGUCGUGAAGCUGUUCGCAUCGACCGAUCGCGUAACGCGAUCGCGACUCCUACAGCAGCUGGAACUGUUCAUCGGGCACCUCCAGACGGGCGUCGUCAACGAUCAGAUCUUUCCGCAGAUAGCCCACGGCUUUCUGGACACCAAUCCAACGAUUCGGGAACAAACUGUUAAGUCAAUCAUUCACCUAGCGCCAAAGCUAAACUACAACAACUUGAACGUUGAGGUUCUGCGACACUUUGCACGGUUACAAUCACGGGACGACCAGGGUGGAAUCCGCACCAAUACGACCGUCUGUUUGGGGAAGAUCGCACCACACUUGCAUCCGCAGGUUCGACAACGGGUCCUCGUUUCGGCGUUCAUCCGAGCCAUGCGAGAUCCGUUCCCGCCGGCACGGGUCGCUGGCAUUCUGGCACUGGCCGCCACCCAGCAGUACUUCCUGCUGGCGGAGGUCGCGAACCGCAUCCUGCCGGCGCUCUGUCCACUGACCGCAGACCCCGAGAAGACGGUACGCGAUCCGGCCUUCAAAACGAUACGGGGCUUCCUCGGCAAGCUGGAGAAGGUCAGCGAGGAUCCGAGCCUGCGCGAGAGCAUGGAGGCCGACGUUCACACGGCGACUCCGUCGCUGGGCAAUGCGGCGGCCACGUGGGCCGGCUGGGCCGUGACGGCCGUCACCGCCAAGUUCUACCGCAGCCAGAGCGAUACGGCGCGGCCACGGCCACCCCUAACUGGUAAAAAUUUGAGUAAACCUGCUUCGCUGGAACAACCCUCGAGCAGCAGCAUCUCGACGACAACGAGCAGCGUCACGUCGAUGACGUCGCUGGAGCACGAGAGCGCGGACACGUCGGCGUCUGCGAGCGACUACGGACCGGACAACUGGGACCACGAGAACUGGGGCGAUAUGGACACAUCACAGGACCCGAGCAGUCCAAUGGCCGGCACGUCGAACCCGCUUACCACAAGUCUCAACAUCGUCAGCACGGCGAAUGACACGCGAGACGGUUGGGACAACGAGGACUGGGGUAGUUUGGAGGAAGAUCCGAACGAAGCGCUCGACGAAAAGGAAGAGGAUGAACUGGUUCGCAACCAGCAGCAUCAGCGUCAGUCCUCGUCCGGCGUGCCAUCGUCGACGACCACGAGUGCGUCCACGUCCUCCGGUGCCACGGUUGUGCCCUACCUGCCCAGUUCCAACAACAAUGCCAACAACAAUCUCCCGAAUCACCACCACAACAACAGCACGUCGUCGUCGCCGGCGCCGCCACCGGUGGUGACGUCCACGACGCCCAUGGGGGUGCCGCACAGUAGUCCCAGCAAAAUGCUAGCGCUGAAGAACAUGACCAACAUCAUGAUCAACAACUCCAACUCGAACUGGAGCAACGCGGGCGGGGACGGCUGGGCCGAUGGCGAUUUUGAACCGAUCGACGAGCCGAGCACAGACAGCAUUACUAGUAGUCUCCAUCGGAGGGGACACUUUUUGAAGAAGCACGCCGCGAUGAAGUGAACCGAAAUGCCCCGGACGGUGAAGCCGGCGACGUCGAAAACAGCGACCAAGACCGAAACUCCAAGCUGGACGAGGCCCGGCGGAAGCGUGAAGAGAAGAAACAGCAAAGGCAGCGCGAACUUGAGGCUCGGAGGGCGGCCCGAAGUGCGGGUGGACCGGGUGGGGCCGGAGCGGGUGGCCCCGGAAGUAGUGG
rnacentral:misc_RNA from 1 species